rnacentral:rRNA from 1 species
UACCAGCACCCCGAGUGGUCGGGACGAUUAUUGGGCGUAAAGAGCUUGUAGGCGGUUUGUCGCGUCUGCUGUGAAAUUUCGGGGCUCAACCCCGAACUUGCAGUGGGUACGGGCAGACUAGAGUGUGGUAGGGGAGACUGGAAUUCCUGGUGUAGCGGUGAAAUGCGCAGAUAUCAGGAGGAACACCGAUGGCGAAGGCAGGUCUCUGGGCCACUACUGACGCUGAGAAGCGAAAGCAUGGGGAGCGAACAGG